rnacentral:rRNA from 1 species
UUCAACGGCCGCGGUAUCCUAACCGUGCGAAGGUAGCGUAAUCACUUGUUCUUUAAAUGUGGACUAGUAUGAAUGGCAUCACGAAGGUUAUACUGUCUCCUUUUCCUAAUCAGUGAAACUAAUCUCCCCGUGAAGAAGCGAGGAUAAAAAUAUUAGACGAGAAGACCCUAUGGAGCUUUAAACAAAAUAGCACUCGCCACAUGAAUAAAAGUUUCAGAAUUAUUAUUUACCUUAAGCGAACUGACUAUGUGUUUUUGGUUGGGGUGACCGCGGAGCAUAGCACAACCUCCAUGUUGAAAGAAAGUUUUCUAAACUAAGAACCACACCUCUAAGUAUCAAAAAAUUGACAUACAUUGACCCAAUAAAUUUGAACAACGAACCAAGUUACCCUAGGGAUAACAGCGCAAUCCACUUCAAGAGCUCAUAUCGACAAGUGGGUUUACGACCUCGAUGUUGGAUCAGGGUCUCCCAGUGGUGCAGCCGCUACUAAAGGUUCGUUUGUUCAACGAUUAAAACCCUACGUGAUC